GGCUGGUCCAAAGGUAGUGAGUUAUCUCAAUUGAUUGUUCACAGUCAGUUACAGAUUGAACUCCUUGUUCUACUCUUUCCCCACUUCUCACUACUGCAUUUGACUAGUCUAAA
rnacentral:Y_RNA from 1 species